rnacentral:rRNA from 1 species
UACGUAGGGUGCAAGCGUUGUCCGGAAUUAUUGGGCGUAAAGAGCUCGUAGGCGGUCUGUUGCGUCGGCUGUGAAAACCCGAGGCUCAACCUCGGGCCUGCAGCCGAUACGGGCAGACUAGAGUUCGGCAGGGGAGACUGGAAUUCCUGGUGUAGCGGUGAAAUGCGCAGAUAUCAGGAGGAACACCGGUGGCGAAGGCGGGUCUCUGGGCCGAUACUGACGCUGAGGAGCGAAAGCGUGGGGAGCGAAUAGG